UAGGGAAUUUGCUACUUAGUUUGAUUAUAUUUUCUUGUCUAUUCAUUGGAAGUCGAGCGCAACAACAACAACAACAACAACAAUGCAUAGACGAGCUUCGAUUCUGCAUAAGCUACCUUAACGAUACUAGCCAACCUCCACACACUUGUUGCGAGCCACUAGACUACAUUGUUAAAUCACUACCACAAUGCUUUUGCAAUUUCAUGUCAACGUUGGCCGUUGAUUUAGUCAAAUCGGUGGGUAUUAAUAUCUCGAGAGCCCAAACACUUCCCGAGAGAUGCGGACAACGUGUUAACCCGUUAGAAUGUAUCACAGGUACUGGAGAUGCACGAGCAAAUAAUCCAACUUCAAAUACUGCAAAUUCAUCCAUGUUGUGGGAUUCAAGCUUCGCGAUAGCUUUUGCUGCUUUUUCAAUAAUUAUUAAUUUGAGGGAAUUAUAACUUUGGUGACAAGAAGAAAUCAUCAGUUAUCUUUGUAUAGGUGUAUUUAGGGUAUAUUGUUUUGUAAAAAUGUUUUUUAAUUGUUUCUCCGUUUGUCUAUA